CGGGACGGGGUGGAGUAAUGUCUGGGAAACGUGCCUGAUGGAGGGGGGUAACUACUGGAAACGGGGGCUAAUACCGCAUAACGUCGCAAGACCAAAGAGGGGGACCUUCGGGGCCUCUUGCCAUCGGAUGUGCCCAGAUGGGAUUAGCUAGUAGGUGGGGUAACGGCUCACCUAGGCGACGAUCCCUAGCUGGUCUGAGAGGAUGACCAGCCACACUGGAACUGAGGCACGGUCCAG
rnacentral:rRNA from 1 species